GCUUGCUGGGCCCCCACUCUCAGACUUUCUGAUGCAGAAGAUUUGAGUUGGGACCCAUGAAUUUGCAUUUCUAGUGACUGUGGAUCCUUUGGUCUUGUUUUCCUCACCAUGAAAUGAUUUUCUCCUCUCUCUUGCUGUCACUGCUGAUUCAACAUUUAAAGCAUUGCCAGGCAGAAUUGUGAUCCCCUGAAGGUGUCUUAUCCUAAUCCCAGAACCUGGUUUUUUGGUUGGAUUGCUCAAUGCCAAGACAAAGAGCUCUUUGAUCAUGGGCUAGAAAAAAGGGUUAAAGGAUGGUUGAGAAAGAAUUCAGGAAAGAACGAUCCUGUUCCUGCUUGGAGGAGGACAGAGGAGCUGAAACCAAUGGGGCCGUGGAGCCUGGGGAGGAAAUUAAUGAAGAGCUGGUGAAGACGGCAUGGCCCCCAUCAAUAUAGUCUCCUCAGUCUGUACCAGGCCCCGUCCCUAUGCUGCGACCAGAGCGCUGUCCCCCGCCGAGCC